UCUUCCGUAGUAUAGUGGUCAGUAUGCAAGCUUGUCAAACACAAUAAACGCUUGAGACCCGGGUUCAAUUCCCGGCGGGAGAG